rnacentral:misc_RNA from 1 species
GAUGAAGAACGCAGCGAAAUGCGAUAAGUAAUGUGAAUUGCAGAAUUCAGUGAAUCAUCGAAUCUUUGAACGCACAUUGCGCCCGCUAGUAUUCUGGCGGGCAUGCCUGUUCGAGCGUCAUUUCAACCAUCAAGCCCUGCUUGUGUUGGGGUCCUGCGGCUGCCCGCAGGCCCUGAAAACCAGUGGCGGGCUCGCUAGUCACACCGAGCGCAGUAGCACAUCUCGCUCAGGGCGUGCGGCGGGUUCUUGCCGUAAAACACCCCCUUUUUACCAAGGUUGACUUCGGAUCAGGUAGGAAUACCCGCUGAACUUAAGCAUAUCAAUAGCGGAGGA